rnacentral:rRNA from 1 species
UAUUAGUUAUGUUCUUGAAACUCAAAGAAUUUGGCGGUGCUUUAGUCUUUUCAGAGGAACCUGCUCCCGUAAUCGAUAAUCCACGUAUUACCUUACUUAAAUUUGUUUCAGCUUGUAUACCGCCGUCGUCAGAAUGUCCUUAAAAGGUUAAAAUUUUCUUGAAUUUUUAUUAAAAAUGAUGUCAGGUCAAGGUGCAGUUUAUGUUUAAGUGGAGAUGGGUUACAAUAAACUUAUUUAAAAUGGAUAUAUUUUUGAAAGAGAUAGUUGAAGGUGGAUUUGAUUGUAAUUUAAUUAAUUUAGUUAAUUUGAUUUUGGCUCUAAAGCAUGCACACAUCGCCCGUCGCUCUUA